rfam:Thecamonas trahens ATCC 50062 unplaced genomic scaffold supercont1.40, whole genome shotgun sequence.
GCACACGUGUCUCAGUGGUUACGGAGUCGGUCUUAUGAACAGAUUAGAAUACCGAAAGUCGCGAGUUCGAAUCUCGCCGUGUGCA